CCUACGGUGGACAGCAGUGGGGAAUAUUGGGCAAUGGGCGCAAGCCUGACCCAGCAACGCCGCGUGAAGGAAGAAUGCUCUCGGGUUGGAAACUUCUUUUAUCAGGGACGAAGCAUGUGACGGUACCUCCUUAUUGUGCCACCUCUAACUACGUGCCAGCAGCCGCUGUAAUACGUCGGAGGCAAGCGUUAUCCGGAUUUACUGGGUGUAAAGGGCGUGUAGGCGGGAGUGCAAGUCAGAUGUGAAAGCUAUGGGCUCAACCCAUAGUCUGCAUUUGACACUGUAAUUCUGGAGUGCCGGAGAGGCAAUCGGAAUUCCGGGUGUAGCGGUGAAAUGCGUAGAUAUACCGAGGAACACCGAUGGCGAAGGCAGCCUGCUAAACUGCGACUGACGUUGAGGCCCGAAAGCGUGGGGAGCAAACAGGAUUAGAUACCCUAGUAGUC
rnacentral:rRNA from 1 species